rnacentral:rRNA from 1 species
CGGAGGAGCAUGUGGUUUAAUUCGUAAGCAACGCGAAGAACCUUACCAGGCCUUGACAUGCAGAGAACUUUCCAGAGAUGAUUGGUGCCUUCGGGAACUCUGACACAGGUGCUGCAUGGCUGUCGUCAGCUCGUGUCGUGAGAUGUUGGGUUAAGUCCGUAACGAGCGCAACCCUUGUCCUUAGUUACCAGCACGUUAUGGUGGGCACUCUAAGGAGACUGCCGGUGACAAACCGGAGGAAGGUGGGGAUGACGCCAAGUCAUCAUGGCCCUUACGGCCUGGGCUACACACGUGCUACAAUGGUCGGUACAAAGGGUUGCCAAGCCGCGAGGUGGAGCUAAUCCCAUAAAACCGAUCGUAGUCCGGAUCGCAGUCUGCAACUCGACUGCGUGAAGCCGGAAUCGCUAGUAAUCGUGAAUCAGAAUGUCACGGUGAAUACGUUCCCGGGCCUU